rnacentral:rRNA from 1 species
AACGAACGCUGGCGGCAGGCUUAACACAUGCAAGUCGAGCGCCCCGCAAGGGGAGCGGCAGACGGGUGAGUAACGCGUGGGAAUCUACCCAUCUCUACGGAAUAACGCAUGGAAACGUGUGCUAAUACCGUAUACGUCCUUCGGGAGAAAGAUUUAUCGGAGAUGGAUGAGCCCGCGUUGGAUUAGCUAGUUGGUGGGGUAAAGGCCUACCAAGGCGACGAUCCAUAGCUAGUCUGAGAGGAUGAUCAGCCACACUGGGACUGAGACACGGCCCAGACGCCGACGGGAGGCAGCGGUGGGGAAUAUUGGACAAUGGGCGCAAACCUGAUCCAGCCAUGCCGCGUGAGUGAUGAAGGCCCUAGGGUUGUAAAGCUCUUUCACCGGUGAAGAUAAUGACGGUAACCGGAGAAGAAGCCCCGGCUAACUUCGUGCCAGCCGCCGCCGUAACAC